ensembl:snRNA U6 U6 spliceosomal RNA
GUGCUCUCUUCAGCAGCACACAUACUAAAAUUGGAAUAAUAUACAGAGAAGAUUAGCAGGCCCCUGUGCAAAUUCAUGAAGGAUUCCAUAUUUUU